rnacentral:tRNA from 1 species
GGCAGCUCAGUGGUAGAGUGCUUGCCUUGCAUGCAUGAGGCCCUGGGUUUGAUUCCUCAGUGCCA